rnacentral:misc_RNA from 1 species
GAUGAAGAACGUAGUGAAAUGCGAUAAGUAAUGUGAAUUGCAGAAUUCAGUGAAUCAUCGAAUCUUUGAACGCACAUUGCGCCCGUCAGUAUUCUGGCUGGCAUGCCUGUUCGAGCGUCAUUACGCCCCUCAAGUCCCCUGUGGACUUGGUGUUGGGGAUCGGCGAGGCUGGUUUUCCAGCACAGCCGUCCCUUAAAUUAAUUGGCGGUCUCGCCGUGGCCCUCCUCUGCGCAGUAGUAAAACACUCGCAACAGGAGCCCGGCGCGGUCCACUGCCGUAAAACCCCCCAACUUUUUAUAGUUGACCUCGAAUCAGGUAGGACUACCCGCUGAACUUAAGCAUAUCAAUAAGCGGAGGA